GACGAACGCUGGCGGCGUGCUUAACACAUGCAAGUCGAACGGAAAGGUCCUGCUUUUGUGGGGUGCUCGAGUGGCGAACGGGUGAGUAACACGUGAGUCACCUGCCCUUGACUUUGGGAUAACUUCAUGAAACUGGGGCUAAUACCGGCUAGGAGCUCCUGCCGCAUGGUGGGGGCUGGUAAGUUUCGGCGGUUGGGGAUGGACUCGCGGCUUAUCAGCUUGUUGGUGUGGUAGUGGCUUACCAAGGCUUUGACGGGUAGCUGGCCUGGUAGGGUCAGCGGCCACAUUGGGACUGGGAUGCGGCCCAGACUCCUACGGGACGCAGCAGUGGAGUAUAUUGCACAAUGGGCGGAAGCCUGGUGCAGCAACGCCGCGUGCGGGAUGUGGGCCAUCGGUUUGGAUUCCGCUUUCGCCUGUGACGAAACGUGAGUGACGGUAAUGGGUAAAGAAGCACCGGCUAACUACGUG
rnacentral:rRNA from 1 species